UCCUCUCCAAGAACAACAAAAAGUUACACCAGGUGAGGAAAUCUACCAUAAUAAAAUAUAUAAACUGAAGAAAAGCUUCUAGUUCUUCCACUUAAUCGGCUUGUUACACUAAAAGGUAAGUGUCUCUUCCAUUUACGAAUAUACUCAUGUACUUGUUACACUGUUAGUGUUUGUUUCUUAAAAACUCAUGAAAAAAAAGUUUGAUUUCUAUAGUGGCGUUUCUUUAUGUGUUUGUUUCUUUAAAAACCAUGAAAAAAAUGUUAGAUUUGGGUAGAAAAAAAAGUGUUUUUGUGAAAUUUUUAUUGCUUUUGUUUAGCAUUAAUUGAGGGUUUUGUUAUAACACGGAUUAAUAUCAAAAAAGGGUUUUCAAAUCUAGCUUAUAAGUGCAAAAGGGUCGUUUUGGUGAUUUGAAAAGGGGAUUUUAUCAUACUACUAAAAAUGGGGUUUCUAUGGAUUGUUUGGUUGAUUAUGAUUAUAGAUGGUGAUUUGGGUAUUAAUUAUUGCUGUUCGAUCUAUUGGUUUUAUACGGUUUUAUUCAGUUGAUUGGAAUUUUUUCCUUUAAUCAGUUAAGUUAGGGUUUUUACUUUCUUUCGAAUAAUCUCAAAAUAGUUAGUUUUGAAUAAUGUGAACAAGUUCUUGGAAACAGUAUCGGAUUCUCUUGCAUUAAAUAUCAAUGACAAGAAAUCUUUUGACCCUCUUUGUUCCUCUUUACGUUCUUUUGAAUAAUCUCACUUCUUAAUUGCUUGGAUACAACAGUUUUUUAGGUGAAUACAUGAUAAAAAAUUGUUCUAUUGGGAAGAAAAGAUUACAUUUAUGUUGACAAUUAAUUUAAAAUUGUUGUAUUGGGAAGAAAAGAUUACAUUUAUGUUGACAAUUAAGUUAGAACCCCUUUUUCACAAACAGAAGCGGGUUUCUAAAAAAAUAGAAAAUAAAAUAAAAAAGAAACUAAUUGGUAUGUAACAUUAAAUUGUUAGAUGGUUUGUUACAUUUAUGUUUGACAACUUAUUUUGUAACAGUGUUGGAAGGCAGUGAAUCGGACACACCAGCAAGGAUUUGAAAGAAAAGAAAAAAAAUAUUUUUGUAACUUAAGUAUUUUGUUUUUUAGGGAACAAGUGUGUUGUAUGCGUUGUUAGGUUAUAUAAUAAUGUUGCACCUUAACAUUUGUGGGAGAAAAAUUUUGUAACUU
rnacentral:lncRNA from 1 species